UCUUCACGUUUGUGUAAUGAUUAUCCUUCCUUCAGCAAUUCACUCAGCGUCCGUAUCUGCAGGCGCUUUAUCACGUACUAACAAAAUGGAAUCUUAUCGAACUAUCUACUCCAUUUUAAACGUUGGCUGACUAAUCAUUCCAAUAUAUAUAUAUAUUCUCCAUUUAAUUCGAGCUGUCAUAAGUAGUUUCAAAUUUUGUGUGUCGGUAAUAAACGUAUUACCGUAGCUUUGUACUGUACCAUUUUUCGAAAACUACAUCGACACUUCUGAAGUUUACAUAAAAUUUAUAAGAUAAUAAAUGAUUAUCAUAGUAAAUCUAAAAUAAAACAUGUUCUUUCAUUAAAAUAUAUGCAAUUAAAUUCGUCAUAAAAGCAGUUUCUUUCCCUGUGAUUAAAAGGGCAAUUAAUUUUCAAGAUUAUUUGGGUAAUCAAAUCGUAUGAUUACAAACCAUUCACAAAAAUAUUUAUAGUAGGAAAAGACAUAAAGAC